GUGGAAGACCGGAUGGUCGCUCGGUGCAUUUUGCAUCGGGAGGAAAGUCCGGACUCCACGGGCAGGGCGCUGGGUAACUCCCAGGCGGAGCAAUCCGACACCAGCACCACAGAAAAUAAACCGCCGAUGGCCAAGGCGAUGGGAUCCCAUCUGGUCGCCGCGGCUCAGGUAAGGGUGAAACGGUGGGGUAAGAGCCCACCGCGGGGAUGGUGACAUCACCGGCAGGGUAAGCGUCGCCCGGUGCAAGGCCAAAUAGGAAGACAUGUGCACGGCUCCUCACUGGAGUCGUGCAGACCGACUGGCCCGGUCGAGGUCUUCGGGUAGGUCGCUUGAGGUUCGAGGUGACUCGAAUCCCAGAGAAAUGAUCAUCCAGGCAAAGAGGGCGACUUCUUUGCGGGACAGAAUCCGGCUUAUAGGUCUUCCAUCUAC
rnacentral:RNase_P_RNA from 1 species